rnacentral:rRNA from 1 species
AACGUAGGUACCGAGCGUUAUCCGGAUUUACUGGGCGUAAAGCGCGUUCAGGCGGUUUGGCAAGUCGGGCAUGAAAUCUCUCGGCUCAACCGGGAGAGGUUGUCCGAUACUGCUGGACUUGAGGGCAGUAGAGGGUGGUGGAAUUCCGGGUGUAGUGGUGAAAUGCGCAGAUAUCAGGAGGAACACCGAUGGCGAAGGCAGGUCUCUGGGCAUUAGCUGACACUGAGGCGCGACAGCGUGGGGAGCAAACAGG